rfam:Cricetulus griseus cell line CHO-K1, whole genome shotgun sequence.
UGAUGUGAAUCUCAUCUGGCUGCUAAAUGUAUUGGUCACUAGAGUUGUUUUGGCUGAUCUGGCUUGCUAAGAAGGUGUCUCCUUUCCCCUUCACUGCUCCAUGUGUGUCCCUCCCAAAGUUGUGUGGUCAAUUAAAGAACUUUCCCUGGUUAUGAAGAUUAUCUUGUCACUGGUAUAUAACUAGCUGUGCUCCCCUUGCAAAAGCUCCGACCUCUCAAGAUUAACUUCAGAUAGCACUAUAACCAGGAAGCUUAACAAGCAACGCAUUUUCACUCUUGUCCCAUCUACAGGU